GUAGGUGGCAAGCGUUGUCCGGAAUUAUUGGGCGUAAAGCGCGCGCAGGCGGUCCUUUAAGUCUGAUGUGAAAGCCCACGGCUCAACCGUGGAGGGUCAUUGGAAACUGGGGGACUUGAGUACAGAAGAGGAAAGCGGAAUUCCAAGUGUAGCGGUGAAAUGCGUAGAGAUUUGGAGGAACACCAGUGGCGAAGGCGGCUUUCUGGUCUGUAACUGACGCUGAGGCGCGAAAGCGUGGGGAGCAAACAGGAUUAGAUACCCUGGUAGUCCACGCCGUAAACGAUGAGUGCUAAGUGUUAGGGGGUUUCCCGCCCCCCUUAGUGCUGCAGCUAACGCAUUAAGCACUCCGCCUGGGGAGUACGACCGCAAGGCUG
rnacentral:rRNA from 1 species